UACGGAGGGUGCGAGCGUUAAUCGGAAUUACUGGGCGUAAAGCGCACGCAGGCGGUUUGUUAAGCUAGAUGUAAAAGCCCCGGGCUCAACCUGGGAUGGUCAUUUAGAACUGGCAGACUAGAGUCUUGGAGAGGGGAGUGGAAUUCCAGGUGUAGCGGUGAAAUGCGUAGAUAUCUGGAGGAACAUCAGUGGCGAAGGCGACUCCCUGGCCAAAGACUGACGCUCAUGUGCGAAAGUGUGGGUAGCGAACAGG
rnacentral:rRNA from 1 species